rnacentral:rRNA from 1 species
CGGGUGAGUAACACGUGGGCAACCUGCCCUGAANCGGGGGAUAACAUCUGGAAACAGGUGCUAAUACCGCAUAACAACGAAAACCACAUGGUUUUCGUUUCAAAGAUGGUUUUGGCUAUCACUUCAGGAUGGGCCCGCGGUGCAUUAGCUAGUUGGUAAGGUAACGGCUUACCAAGGCGGUGAUGCAUAGCCGAGUUGAGAGACUGAUCGGCCACAAUGGAACUGAGACACGGUCCAUACUCCUACGGGAGGCAGCAGCC